GACGAACGCUGGCGGCGUGCUUAACACAUGCAAGUCGAGCGGAAAGGCCACUUCGGUGGUACUCGAGCGGCGAACGGGUGAGUAAACCGUGAGUAAUCUGCCCCUGGCUUUGGGAUAGCAACCGGAAACGGUGAUUAAUACAGGAUACGAUCCCUUAUCGCCUGGGCUGGUGGUGGAACGUUUUUUCGGCCAGGGAUGUGCUCGCGGCCUAUCAGCUUGAUGGUGAGGUAAUGGCUCACCAUGGCUCCGACGGGUAGCCGGCCUGAGAGGGUGACCGGUCACACUGGGACUGAGACACGGCCCAGACUCCUACGGGAGGCAGCAGUGGGGAAUAUUGGACAAUGGGCGGAAGCCUGAUCCAGCGACGCCGCGUGAGGGAUGACGACCUUCGGGUUGUAAACCUCUUUCAGCAGGGACGAAGCGCAAGUGACGGUACCUGCAGAAGAAGCACCGGCCAACUACGUGCCAGCCGCCGCGGUAA
rnacentral:rRNA from 1 species